GAUGAACGCUGGCGGCGUGCCUAAUACAUGCAAGUCGAGCGAACAGACGAGGAGCUUGCUCCUCUGACGUUAGCGGCGGACGGGUGAGUAACACGUGGAUAACCUACCUAUAAGACUGGGAUAACUUCGGGAAACCGGAGCUAAUACCGGAUAAUAUAUUGAACCGCAUUGUUCAAUAGUGAAAGACGGUUUUGCUGUCACUUAUAGAUGGAUCCGCGCCGCAUUAGCUAGUUGGUAAGGUAACGGCUUACCAAGGCAACGAUGCGUAGCCGACCUGAGAGAGUGAUCGGCCACACGGGAACUGGGACACGGUCCAGACGCCUGCGGGAGGCAGCAGUAGGGAAUCUUCCGCAAUGGGCGAAAGCCUGACGGAGCAACGCCGCGUGAGUGAUGAAGGUCUUCGGAUCGUAAAACUCUGUUAUGAGGGAAGAACAAAUGUGUAAGUAACUAUGCACGUCUUGACGGUACCUAAUCAGAAAGCCACGGCUAACUACGUG
rnacentral:rRNA from 1 species